GCAGCAGUGGUGCAGUGGUUAGCACUAUCACCUCACGGCCAGAAGGUCGUGGGUUCGAUCCUGGCCAGGGGCC